rnacentral:rRNA from 1 species
AUUGAACGCUGGCGGAAUGCUUUACACAUGCAAGUCGAACGGCAGCGCGGGUGCUUGCACCUGGCGGCGAGUGGCGAACGGGUGAGUAACAUAUCGGAACGUCCCCAGUAAUGGGGGAUAACUAACCGAGAGGUUAGCUAAUACCGCAUACGCCCUGAGGGGGAAAGCGGUGGAUCGAAAGACCGCGCGUAAUUGGAGCGGCCGGUAUGUGAUUAGCUAGUUGGUGGGGUAAAGGCCCACCAAGGCGACGAUCAGUAGCUGGUAUGAAAGGAUGGUCAGCCACACUGGGACUGAGACACGGCCCAGACUCCUACGGGAGGCAGCAGUGGGGAAUUUUGGACAAUGGGCGAAAGCCUGAUCCAGCCAUUCCGCGUGAGUGAAGAAGGCCUUCGGGUUGUAAAGCUCUUUCGGCAGGAACGAAACGCUCUAGAUUAAUACUCUGGGGUAAUGACGGUACCUGAAGAAGAAGCACCGGCUAACUACGUGCCAGCCGCCGCAGUAA